AAAGAUCGCAGCCUGCGGCAGUUCCUACAGGAACACAUUCCCGUGUAGGAGCUGCCGCAGGCUGCGAUCUUU
rnacentral:misc_RNA from 1 species